ACAUUGUGUGCUUCAUCUUUUUGUGUCACUUGUAAAACCCAUGCACUGCGCUGGUAUUCUUCACUGAGUGGCUAGAGGCUGCAUUUAGGAAUGCCGUUACUUCUCGUGAUGUUUCCUAAUACUCUGGAGCCCUACAGGUAUGAGCUUCAAACAGGCACGAGACACCUCUGUCUCCAUCCACACAGUAGAGACUGGGACUAAUCGCAGCGGGCGCCACACACCUCAGGAAGGUAGCAAUUUUCCAUCAUUACCGUUAAAUCCUGCUUAAAAGAACCGGAUUCCACAGGCCUAAUUACAAGGUGUUAAUAAUAACAAUGUAAUGACAGUCAUUUUAAAGCCUGCCCAAAACCAUAAUCCAUCGCCCAACUGACUCUCACAUUUAAGUGUGUAACUGCUGUGUGAUGUCUGAAUUUUGAAAGCACCAUGAUUGUUAUUGAUUGCCAUUGUGAUUACUCCAACAGUCGGUGUGGCAGGGUCUGCGCGUUGGGGCUUGAAUUAGGAGCGUUGUCAGCUUUUGUCAAAUGGAAAUGCAGCUCUACAGACAGACGCUGAUGCUUGAAGACACGGCAAGCCAAUCUACCAGCCUAAUUGCUGUACGGGACAGAGUUUAGCAGUUUGCAGAGUGAAAGAAAUACAGCCAGGAAACAAUCUUCCACCAUGGUAAUUACUGCUAAAUGAGGCUGAUGCGAAGCUGACCUGCUGUCUGGUUAGGGGUGUGGCAGAGUGCCCUAAACACAACGUCCAAUCACAAGUCUUCCCCCAAACCCUGGGAUCAACACUCAUCAUUGGCUGAAAGUCCCAAAUGCAUGCCAGACUUUUUCCAG
ensembl:lncRNA